rnacentral:rRNA from 1 species
CGAACGGGUGAGUAACACGUGGGCAACCUGCCCAAAAGAGGGGGAUAACACCUGGAAACAGGUGCUAAUACCGCAUAACCAUAGUUACCGCAUGGUAACUAUGUAAAAGGUGGCUAUGCUACCGCUUUUGGAUGGGCCCGCGGCGCAUUAGCUAGUUGGUGGGGUAAAGGCUUACCAAGGCAAUGAUGCGUAGCCGAACUGAGAGGUUGAUCGGCCACAUUGGGACUGAGACACGGCCCAAACUCCUACGGAAGGCAGCAG